UACGUAGGGUGCAAGCGUUGUCCGGAAUUAUUGGGCGUAAAGAGCUCGUAGGCGGUUUGUCGCGUCUGCUGUGAAAACUCGGGGCUUAACCCCGGGCCUGCAGUGGGUACGGGCAGACUAGAGUGCGGUAGGGGAGACUGGAAUUCCUGGUGUAGCGGUGAAAUGUGCAGAUAUCAGGAGGAACACCGGUGGCGAAGGCGGGUCUCUGGGCAGUAACUGACGCUGAGGAGCGAAAGCGUGGGGAGCGAACAGG
rnacentral:rRNA from 1 species